rnacentral:sRNA from 2 species
AGAGCGCACGCCUGAUAAGCGUGAGGUCGAUGGUUCAAGUCCAUUUAGGCCCAUUUAAUGGGGAAUUAGCUCAGCUGGGAGAGCACCUGCUUUGCAAGCAGGAGGUCAUCGGUUCGAUCCCGAUAUUCUCCAUCGCCAAUUAUAAGAUUGGCCGAGCUUGUACUUUGAAAACUAAAUAAUAUCUAAUUUCUUUUUAUUGAAAACAAUAAACCGAGAACACCGCGUUAUUUGAGUUUAAUUAACGAAAUAAUCGCUAACUCAAUUAAUCAAGGUGAUCGCGAAGUGAUCAUCAAGGUUAAGUUAUGAAGGGCGCAUGGUGAAUGCCUUGGUACUAGGAGCCGAUGAAGGACGGGACAAACACCGAUAUGCUUCGGGGAGUGGUAAGUACACUUUGAUCCGGAGAUUUCCGAAUGGGGAAACCCAACCAGCUUAGUCGUUGGUUACCUGACUAGUGAAUCUAUAGCUAGCAGGGGGAAGACGCAGUGAACUGAAACAUCUCAGUAGCUGCAGGAAGAGAAAGAAACAUCGAUUCCCUGAGUAGCGGCGAGCGAAAGGGGAAGAGCCCAAACCAGUGAGCUUGCUUGCUGGGGUUGUAGGACUGAACAAUGGAGUUACCAAAAUGCGACGUAGUCGCAACAGCUGGGAAGCUGUGCCAGAGAGGGUGAUAGCCCCGUAGACGAAACGUCACAUUCUCCGUUCAGGAUCCUGAGUACGGCGGGACACGUGAAACCCCGUCGGAAGCAGCGAGGACCAUCUCGCAAGGCUAAAUACUACCUAGUGACCGAUAGUGAA